AACGAACGCUGGCGGCAUGCCUAACACAUGCAAGUCGAACGAGACCUUCGGGUCUAGUGGCGCACGGGUGCGUAACGCGUGGGAACCUGCCCUUAGGUUCGGAAUAACUCCCCGAAAGGGGUGCUAAUACCGGAUAAUGUCUUCGGACCAAAGAUUUAUCGCCUUUGGAUGGGCCCGCGUUGGAUUAGCUAGUUGGUAGGUUAAAAGCCUACCAAGGCGACGAUCCAUAGCUGGUCUGAGAGGAUGAUCAGCCACACUGGGACUGAGACACGGCCCAGACUCCUACGGGAGGCAGCAGUGGGGAAUAUUGGAAAAUGGGCGAAAGCCUGAUCCAGCAAUGACGCGUGAGUGAUGAAGGCAUUAGGGUUGUAAAGCUCUUUUAACCGGGAUGAUAAUGACAGUACCGGGAGAAUAAGCUCCGGCUAACUCCGUG
rnacentral:rRNA from 1 species